AUUGAACGCUGGCGGCAUGCCUUACACAUGCAAGUCGAACGGCAGCACGGGAGCAAUCCUGGUGGCGAGUGGCGAACGGGUGAGUAAUAUAUCGGAACGUGCCCAGUCGUGGGGGAUAACGCAGCGAAAGCUGUGCUAAUACCGCAUACGAUCUAAGGAUGAAAGCGGGGGAUCGCAAGACCUCGCGCGAUUGGAGCGGCCGAUAUCAGAUUAGCUAGUUGGUGGGGUAAAGGCCCACCAAGGCGACGAUCUGUAGCUGGUCUGAGAGGACGACCAGCCACACUGGAACUGAGACACGGUCCGGACUCCUACGGGAGGCAGCAGUGGGGAACUUUGGACAAUGGGCGCAAGCCUGAUCCAGCAAUGCCGCGUGCAGGAUGAAGGCCUUCGGGUUGUAAACUGCUUUUGUACGGAACGAAACGGCCCUUUCUAAUACAGGGGGCUAAUGACGGUACCGUAAGAAUAAGCACCGGCUAACUACGUGCCAGCAGCCGCCGUAA
rnacentral:rRNA from 1 species